rnacentral:rRNA from 1 species
GAUCAUGGCUCAGGAUGAACGCUAGCUACAGGCUUAACACAUGCAAGUCGAGGGGCAGCAUUUUAGUUUGCUUGCAAACUAAAGAUGGCGACCGGCGCACGGGUGAGUAACACGUAUCCAACCUGCCGAUAACUCGGGGAUAGCCUUUCGAAAGAAAGAUUAAUAUCCGAUGGUAUAUUUUCUCCGCAUGGUGAGAAUAUUAAAGAAUUUCGGUUAUCGAUGGGGAUGCGUUCCAUUAGUUUGUUGGG